rnacentral:rRNA from 1 species
AACGAGCUCUCAAAUUGAUUUUAUGCUUGCAUAAAUGAUUUUUGUCGGAGCGAGUGGCGAACUGGUGAGUAACACGUGGGUAACCUGCCCCGAAGCGGGGGAUAACAUUUGGAAACAAGUGCUAAUACCGCAUAAUAGUUGGAACCGCAUGGUUCCAACUUGAAAGAUGGCUCUGCUAUCACUUUGGGAUGGACCCGCGCCGUAUUAGUUAGUUGGUGAGAUAAAAGCCCACCAAGACGAUGAUACGUAGCCGACCUGAGAGGGUAAUCGGCCACAUUGGGACUGAGACACGGCCCAGACUCCUACGGGAGGCAGCAGUAGGGAAUCUUCCACAAUGGACGAAAGUCUGAUGGAGCAACGCCGCGUGAGUGAUGAAGGUUUUCGGAUCGUAAAACUCUGUUGUUAAAGAAGAACAAGUGUUAGAGUAACUGUUAACACUUUGACGGUAUUUAACCAGAAAGCCACGGCUAACUACGUG